ensembl:antisense
CGGGCAAGCAGCUCCCUCGCUAUUAAUAACCUGGCGGGGAGCCGGCGUCGUGUCUAUAAAGCCGAGCACGCCAACCCCAAGCGGCUCCUUCAACCCUUGAGAUCUUAAACAAAAGUGUAUAGAUAUUUUGCCUGCAUUUUUGUCUGUGUACCACAUGUGUGCAGUACCCACAGGGGCCAGAAAGAUGUCCUCUGGAGCUGGAAUUACAAGUGCAUGUGAGUCACCCUGAGGGUGUUGGAGACUGAUUCCCGUCCUCUGCAAGAGCAGCCACUGAGCCAUCCUUCCAGCCCCUAGUUCAUUCUUUAUUCUAUGAAUCAUGUCUACGGUGCCUGAGUGGCCAGGCUCUGGCUGCCUUGAAGUCAUCUCCCUUAUGUCCCUGUCUCAUGCUGAACUAUUUUGGGGGACGUGACCAGCAGAUGAGUCUGGCCACAGUUGUGCCUGGGACAAAGGCCUGGGUUUGGCAAGCACAAACCCUGUUCCAGUCCUGUGCUUUCAGCCUCUGCCUAACCUUGACGCUGCGACCCUACAGGGAAGCUCCUCACGUUGGUCACAGGACUUCUACAGCUGGGGAGAUGACAGAUGUCUGCAUUGCUACCUGUGGGUGUGGGGACACCCCACAUCUGUCACGCAGAAGGCAGGUCUCACUAAUAUUGAUUGGGGCAGCAUGACAAGAGAAAUAGAAAUGAGUACAGGAGCCCCGUCCCAAAGCAAAACAAAAUACCCUUAAGUUUGAAGUCUGUAAAACUCAAGUGUUAGAAAGUGGAAUUCAAGAGCCAGACAUUGAUAGCACACGCCUUUAACCCCACACUCUGAAGGGAAGCAGACAGAUCUCUGAUUUCAAGGCCAGAGUGAAUUCCAGGACAGCCAGGGCUACACAGAGAAACCUUGUCUCAGGGGAAAAGGAAAGGAAAGAAAAGGAUAGGAAAAAAAGAAAACUAAUUUUAUAAUUUAUUGUAUUAUUUUUAUAUUAUUUUAUGUGGGGGUGGAGCUGAUACUAAAAUCUAGUUCCCUAAUUGGUUCUUGAUUUGGUCAAUAAAGAAGGUGGAAGCCAGUAGGUCCCAGGCAAAAGAAGAAGUGUGUUUUUAAAAUUACAAGCAACAAUUUUAUUUUCAAAGUCUUAUGUAGACAAGGAGGCUUCAGACUUGUUAUUUAGCAGAACACUACUACUCAGUCACUCGUCCAUCCAUCUGUCCGUCCGUCCAUCCAUUCGUCCAUCCAUCCAUCAAUCCACCCAUUAAUCCAUCCAUCCACCCAUCUACUAUAGCAUUUUUCUAUAUAUAAUUGGGAUUCUGUCAUUGCAAUUCCACAGAUGGCCAUUAGGUGUCACCCUCAGGCCAAAGAAUAAAAUCUCUGAAGCC